rnacentral:rRNA from 1 species
GACGAACGCUGGCGGCGUGCCUAAUACAUGCAAGUAGAACGCUGAAGGAGGAGCUUGCUCUUCUGGAUGAGUUGCGAACGGGUGAGUAACGCGUAGGUAACCUGCCUGGUAGCGGGGGAUAACUAUUGGAAACGAUAGCUAAUACCGCAUAACAGUAGAUGUUGCAUGACAUUUGCUUAAAAGGUGCAAUUGCAUCACUACCAGAUGGACCUGCGUUGUAUUAGCUAGUUGGUGGGGUAACGGCUCACCAAGGCGACGAUACAUAGCCGACCUGAGAGGGUGAUCGGCCAAACUGGGACUGAGACACGGCCCAGACUCCUACGGGAGGCAGCAGUAGGGAAUCUUCGGCAAUGGACGGAAGUCUGACCGAGCAACGCCGCGUGAGUGAAGAAGGUUUUCGGAUCGUAAAGCUCUGUUGUAAGAGAAGAACGAGUGUGAGAGUGGAAAGUUCACACUGUGACGGUAUCUUACCAGAAAGGGACGGCUAACUACGUG